UUCUCUUUAGAAUCAUUGCAACUGCAACACCCAUUUGAAUGGAAUGAUGGUGGCUGAGAAAGUUUUAACACUUCCUCCAAUUUAUUUUUUUUCUUGCUUCACAGGACUUGAAUGUCUAUGUAGAAAAUAAUAAUAUAUUAACUACUACAGUGGUGGCAGUGGAAACACACAUGGUGCAAGUGCAGAUUCCAGCUGCUGAAACCUCUAUGAUCGAAGAUCCAUCUGUACUCUGAAUGGGUUUGGAGCAAUAAUUCGAGAGAGAGAGAAAGAAGAGAGAGAGAGAUAUGACAGAAAAGAACAUGCCCCCUUUCUUCCUCUCCCAAAGGCAAAGGCCCCUCUUUCCUCUCAGGAAAUUGGUGAACGAAUUGAAGGCUAAAGAGAAGAACAAUAAAUGAAAUUUCACAAAAAGCAGAAAUCAGAAAAUUAUUAAAAAAAUCCAACACCUGCCACGUGUUGCAAUUAAAUGGCCACUGGAAGAGUCAAAGCAAAAAAGUGGACUGGUGCGUAGUUGAGCUCGUGUAUUACUGAUCAUUGACUCUUGCCAGCUGUCACAUUGUAUAUUAUAUAUUAUAUCUCUUAUCCUUUCUUCUGAUCCAUUAUAUAUUAACAUGUUUCCUCAGAAAGUUAUGUUGUGAGAUUAAGAAAUCGGAAGAAAAUAAAUGAAGAGAUGGAGACUAGAAUGAACAACAUAUUAGGCCAUGAUUGUUGUGGCUGUUUUUAGUUUCUCAGAGACCAAGCCGAAAGGCGUAGGUAGAGAUAGUGGUUCUUUGAUUAUGAGUGGUCAUCGAAAAUCAUGGUAACAAAAUCCAUUAAUGUGUGGUCAUAGUUAACAAUAACAAAAUGGGACUGAUUUUCAAA